UACCAGCUCUCCGAGUGGUAGGGAUGUUUAUUGGGCUUAAAGCGUCCGUGGCCGGCUUAGCAAGUCUCCUGUUAAAUUCAGCGACCUAAUCGUUGAGCCGCGGGAGAUACUACUAGGCUAGGAGGUGGGAGAGGUCAACGGUACUUCCGGGGUAGGGGUGAAAUCCUAUAAUCCCGGGAGGACCACCAGUGGCAAAGGCUGUUGACUAGAACGCGCUCGACGGUGAGGGACGAAAGCUGGGGGGAGCGAACCGGAUUAGAUACCCGGGUAGUCCCAGCUGUAAACGAUGCGAGCUAGGUGUUGGGGUGGCUACGUGCCACUUCAGUGCCGCAGGGAAGCCAUUAAGCUCGCCGCCUGGGGAGUACGGCCGCAAGGCUGAAACUUAAAGGAAUUGGCGGGGGAGCACCACAAGGCGUGAAGCUUGCGGUUC
rnacentral:rRNA from 1 species